GCGAGAAUAGCUCAGUUGGGAGAGCGCGACCUUGCCAAGGUUGAGGCCGCGGGUUCAAAUCCCGUUUCUCGCU
rnacentral:tRNA from 2 species